rnacentral:rRNA from 1 species
UACGGAGGGAGCUAGCGUUGUUCGGAAUUACUGGGCGUAAAGCGCGCGUAGGCGGCUUUGUAAGUUAGAGGUGAAAGCCCGGGGCUCAACCCCGGAACUGCCUUUAAGACUGCAUCGCUUGAAUCCAGGAGAGGUGAGUGGAAUUCCGAGUGUAGAGGUGAAAUUCGUAGAUAUUCGGAAGAACACCAGUGGCGAAGGCGGCUGACUGGACAUGUAUUGACGCUGAGGUGCGAAAGCGUGGGGAGCAAACAGG